rnacentral:rRNA from 1 species
AGAGUUUGAUCCUGGCUCAGAUUGAACGCUGGCGGCAGGCCUAACACAUGCAAGUCGAGCGGUAGAGAGGAGCUUGCUCCUCUUGAGAGCGGCGGACGGGUGAGUAAUGCCUAGGAAUCUGCCUGGUAGUGGGGGAUAACGUUCGGAAACGGACGCUAAUACCGCAUACGUCCUACGGGAGAAAGCAGGGGACCUUCGGGCCUUGCGCUAUCAGAUGAGCCUAGGUCGGAUUAGCUAGUUGGUGAGGUAAUGGCUCACCAAGGCGACGAUCCGUAACUGGUCUGAGAGGAUGAUCAGUCACACUGGAACUGAGACACGGUCCAGACUCCUACGGGAGGCAGCAGUGGGGAAUAUUGGACAAUGGGCGAAAGCCUGAUCCAGCCAUGCCGCGUGUGUGAAGAAGGUCUUCGGAUUGUAAAGCACUUUAAGUUGGGAGGAAGGGCAGUAAAUUAAUACUUUGCUGUUUUGACGUUACCGACAGAAUAAGCACCGGCUAACUCUGUGCCAGCAGCCGCGGUAAUACAGAGGGUGCAAGCGUUAAUCGGAAUUACUGGGCGUAAAGCGCGCGUAGGUGGUUUGUUAAGUUGGAUGUGAAAUCCCCGGGCUCAACCUGGGAACUGCAUUCGAAACUGACUGACUAGAGUAUGGUAGAGGGUGGUGGAAUUUCCUGUGUAGCGGUGAAAUGCGUAGAUAUAGGAAGGAACACCAGUGGCGAAGGCGACCACCUGGACUAAUACUGACACUGAGGUGCGAAAGCAUGGGGAGCAAACAGGAUUAGAUACCCUGGUAGUCCACGCCGUAAACGAUGUCAACUAGCCGUUGGAAGCCUUGAGCUUUUAGUGGCGCAGCUAACGCAUUAAGUUGACCGCCUGGGGAGUACGGCCGCAAGGUUAAAACUCAAAUGAAUUGACGGGGGCCCGCACAAGCGGUGGAGCAUGUGGUUUAAUUCGAAGCAACGCGAAGAACCUUACCAGGCCUUGACAUCCAAUGAACUUUCUAGAGAUAGAUUGGUGCCUUCGGGAGCAUUGAGACAGGUGCUGCAUGGCUGUCGUCAGCUCGUGUCGUGAGAUGUUGGGUUAAGUCCCGUAACGAGCGCAACCCUUGUCCUUAGUUACCAGCACGUAAUGGUGGGCACUCUAAGGAGACUGCCGGUGACAAACCGGAGGAAGGUGGGGAUGACGUCAAGUCAUCAUGGCCCUUACGGCCUGGGCUACACACGUGCUACAAUGGUCGGUACAGAGGGUUGCCAAGCCGCGAGGUGGAGCUAAUCCCACAAAACCGAUCGUAGUCCGGAUCGCAGUCUGCAACUCGACUGCGUGAAGUCGGAAUCGCUAGUAAUCGCGAAUCAGAAUGUCGCGGUGAAUACGUUCCCGGGCCUUGUACUCACCGCCCGUC